rnacentral:tRNA from 1 species
UGGAAGAUCAUCGCCUCCGGUGGGGCGGCUGGGCUUCAAAUCCAGAUGGGAGCCGCCAGCGACCCUCGGCAGGUUCGACUCCUAUGUUCUCCUCC